AAAAUAGGUCAAUAGCAUUCUAACCAGAGUGACUUCAUCAUGAACAGAGGCUGCGUAAAAUAAGGCUGAGACCUGCUGGGCUGCAUUCCCAGGAGGAUAGGCA